rnacentral:misc_RNA from 1 species
CGCACAUUGCGCCCUAUGGUAUUCCAUAGGGCAUGCCUGUUCGAGCGUCAUUUGUACCCUCAAGCUCUGCUUGGUGUUGGGUGUUUGUUCCGCCGCGCGCGAGAACUCGCCUCAAAUGCAUUGGCAGCCGGCAAUCUGGUGUUGGAGCGCAGCACAAUUUGCGCUCUUUGCCGUGUUGCGGCGCCCAUAAGCCCAUUUUUAUGCGCUUGACCUCGGAUCAGGUAGGGAUACCCGCUGAACUUAA